GCCGGUGUAGCUCAGUUGGUAGAGCAAUGCUUUCGUAAAGCAGUGGUCAGGAGUUCGAAUCUCUUCAUCGGCACCA
rnacentral:tRNA from 1 species